rfam:Oryza sativa Japonica Group DNA, chromosome 1, cultivar: Nipponbare, complete sequence.
GUCUAAUGUUUGACUGUCUUUUCGUGUCUAACGUUUGACUGUCUGUCUUAUAUGAAAUUUUUUUAUAAUUAGCAUUUUUAUUAUUGUUAGAUGAUAAAACAUGAUUAAUACUUUAUACGUGACUUGUCUUUUUAAUUUUUUCAUAAUUUUUUUAAAUAAGAUGGACGGUUAAAUAUUGGACACGAAAAAUUAGGGUU